GACGAACGCUGGCGGCGUGCUUAACACAUGCAAGUGGAGCGACGAACCGGGGCUUGCCCCGGGGCAAAGCCGCGAACGGGUGAGUAACACGUGGGUAACCCACCUCGAUGACCGGGACAACCCGAGGAAACUCGGGCUAAUACCGGAUGUGCUCUUCUCUCGCAAGGGAGUUGAGGAAAGGUAGCUUCGGCCUCCGCAUCGAGACGGGCCCGCGGCCCAUUAGCUUGUUGGUGGGGUAACGGCCUACCAAGGCUUCGAUGGGUAGCUGGUCUGAGAGGACGAUCAGCCACACUGGGACUGAGACACGGCCCAGACUCCUACGGGAGGCAGCAGUAGGGAAUCUUGCGCAAUGGGCGAAAGCCUGACGCAGCGACGCCGCGUGCGGGAAGAAGGCCUUGGUU
rnacentral:rRNA from 1 species